rnacentral:SRP_RNA from 1 species
GCCAGGUGUGGUGGCGCACACCUGUAAUCCCAGUUACUCGGGAGGCUGAGGCAAGAGAAUCAUUUGAACCCAGGAGGUGGAGGUUGCAGUGAGCCAAGAUGGCCUCACUGCACUCCAGCUUGGGCAACAGAGUGAGACUUCGUCUCAG